rnacentral:rRNA from 1 species
GACGAACGCUGGCGGCGUGCUUAACACAUGCAAGUCGAACGGAAAGGCCCUGCUUUUGUGGGGUGCUCGAGUGGCGAACGGGUGAGUAACACGUGAGUAACCUGCCCUUGACUUUGGGAUAACUUCAGGAAACUGGGGCUAAUACCGGAUAGGAGCUCCUGCUGCAUGGUGGGGGUUGGAAAGUUUCGGCGGUUGGGGAUGGACUCGCGGCUUAUCAGCUUGUUGGUGGGGUAGUGGCUUACCAAGGCUUUGACGGGUAGCCGGCCUGAGAGGGUGACCGGCCACAUUGGGACUGAGAUGCGGCCCGGACUCCUACGGGAGGCAGCAGUGGGGAAUAUUGCACAAUGGGCGGAAGCCUGAUGCAGCAACGCCGCGUGCGGGAUGACGGCCUUCGGGUUGUAAACCGCUUUCGCCUGUGACGAAGCGUGAGUGACGGUAAUGGGUAAAGAAGCACCGGCUAACUACGUG